rnacentral:rRNA from 1 species
GCGGCGAAGGGAGAGUAACGCGUAGAUAUCUGCCUCGAGGCCCGGGAUAGCGGCGGGAAACUGCCGGUAAUACCGGAUAACAUCUCCGGAUCAAAGGUGUGAUUCCGCCUCGAGAUGAGUCUGCGUCCUAUUAAUGCUUGUUGGUGUGGUAACGGCGCACCAAGGCGAAGAUGGGUACCGGGUGUGAGAGCAUGGCCCGGCUCACUGGGACUGAGACACUGCCCAGACACCUACGGGUGGCUGCAGUCGAGAAUCUUCGGCAAUGGGCGAAAGCCUGACCGAGCGACGCCGCGUGCGGGAUGAAGGCCCUCGGGUUGUAAACCGCUGUCAGUAGGGAGCAAAUCUCUUGGGGUUAUCCCCUUGAGUUGAGCGAUCUUCAGAGGAAGUACGGGCUAAGUUCGUGCCAGCAGCCGCGGUAAGACGAACCGUACGAACGUUAUUCGGAAUCACUGGGCUUAAAGAGUCCGUAGGCGGCCGUGUAGGUGGGAUGUGAAAGCCCUCGUCUCAACCGAGGAAUUGCGUUCCAAACCACAUGGCUUGAGGAGGAUAGAGGUGAGCGGAACUGAUGGUGGAGCGGUGAAAUGCGUUGAUAUCAUCAGGAACACCAGAGGCGAAGGCGGCUCACUGGGUCCUUUCUGACGCUGAGGGACGAAAGCUAGGGGAGCAAACGGGAUUAGAUACCCCGGUAGUCCAAGCUGUAAACGAUGAGCACUAGAUCGAGGGGACUUCCACAUCUUCUCGGUCGUAGCGAAAGUGUUAGUGCUCCGCCUGGGGGAGUAUGGUCGCAAGGGCUGAAACCUCAAAGG